GCGCAAAGAAAAUACAGUAUCAUCAAUAAGCACGACAACGUCAAAUGGUCAAAGAUCAAUUUCAUCGUUCAAAAUUUCGAAUUGAAUAGUUUAUAUCUUUGAAUCAUGCUAAACACGGGAAAACUUGCUGGAAAAACAAUUUUUAUUAGUGGAGCAAGUCCUGGAUUUGGUAAAGCUAUAGCUUUAAAGGCAGCACAGGAUGGAUCAAAUAUUAUCAUUGCUGCUAAAACAGCUGAGCCGCAUCCAAAGCUUCCUGGAACAAUUUACACAGCUGCUGAAGAAGAUACGACCUAAUGAACGGUGUCAAUACCAGAGGAACAUUUUUAUGCUCUCAAGCGUGUAUUCCAUAUCUGAAAUUGGCCAAGAACCCUCAUAUUUUAAACAUCAGUCCGCCAUUAAACAUGAAACCUCUUUGGUGUAAAGGACACGUAGCAUUACAGUACUCCAGCUGUUUGUGUGAGUGCAGUCUAUUAAAAGAAUAGAAAAGAAGAACUGAAGGAAGUUUCAAUCAGACAAAAGACCGAGCCAAUCAAAGACAAAGGAGACGCUUGACAAAUCAAACUUAAUGCAUUAAUAUGGCUACACAAUGCCCAACGCAGAAUUAUAAAUAAAGGGUGUUUCAAUGGAUAGUUCUUGUUUUAACUAGAAAAAUCAUUAUGGAGCUGAAGGAAAGCAAUUUCAUUCAUUUGCCUCUGAAUAAAUUGGAGGGAAGCCAUCGAUUGGAUGAAAUAUGAAAACAAAGCAUAUGAUUGGACAAAACUGACUAAAAAUAUCACUGAUUGCAUUGCAAGAGUUUACUUGUAACUGCAAUAGCUGACAGAGAGGAGAAGUUUCCGUCCUAUAAAAUAACGUAAAAUAAUGUACAUCGCUACUCUCGAGAUUAUUUUGCUUUUUCUAAUAAAAGUCAUCUACUGCAAUUAUAAUGAUGACAAAAAUGCCAUGUUGAAGUUAAAAGACAAAGCAAAAGAAAGUAUUUUUAAGAGACAGAAUGGCAAAGUAACAAGUUGUCGAGGACUUCCAGGACUUCCAGGCAGAGAUGGACGUGAUGGCAGAGAUGCUUCAUUGCGUGGUCCUUCUGGUAAGCAGGGAAAACCUGGUCCAGCUGGUGCACCAGGACCUAAAAGUAAAGCCAAGUCAACCGGUGGAGUGGUCUAUACCA